UACCCCAAGUCAGAUUGUAGUUAUAUCAGAAAAACUGAAGCAACUACCCUAAUUUCCUGCUUCUUUCACUUUCUCUAAGUAUAUAAACUAAUACUCUCAGAAUCUGGAGUACUUUGAAAUUUGGUAAGCCAGUUGAAAUCUCAGAAUCAACAACUGUCGCAAGAUCUUCUUGGAGAAGCGCUUGUUCUUCACUUUAGAGCAAUUAAAGUUUCAAAGAUCUUUAUCAACCACAGUCGCAAUAUCAGAAAAGAAGAAGAACUGACUUCUUCACAGCCUCCUUAGAUGUGAAUUGAAUCCUGCAUUUGGAUUCUGAUGUUAACCAGAUAGUUACAGACAUGUAUGGCAGAAACAUUACUGUUGAUGUAGCUAGAACCAGAUUUGUUCAAGACCUGUUGGAAGCCAGGAGAUUCGAUCAAAUAGCAAUUGACAAACUGUAAGUGAAUUGGAUGUAUUACUUUCCUUGUUUAACGACAACAACAUGCAAGGUUUCCCUUUCCCACUUGUACUUUUUAUCAUAAAAGUAACUUUGCGCAUACACGACCCAAUACCCAUAAUCGUCUUAAUGGUAAACUGCAGAUACGUGGACCCUGCUGUGGCUUACUCUAUGAUAUUGAUAGUGUAUCUAGACCACGAUAAGCCUUGAGUGGCAGAUAGAAACUGACAAGCAAAAACAGCCUAGGCAGACAGUGGCGGGGGGGAUUCAGAAGUUGAGUUUGCAUGCCUCAGUGAGGCAGAGAAAUAGGAUUAUCAGUCUUUUUAGUUUUGUAAACUGAACUGACAAAUGAUAUACUGUUGUUUUUGUUAGAAAUUGUGGUGCUGGAUUUUUCUUUCAUUUUAGUCUUCGUUGUUUCGAUGAACAUGUACAUUUGAUUGAUUCUUAUUCUUUUAGAAGUAGUCUAAAUCAUGAACUGAGAUUUUACUUUGC